GUUUCUGCCUGAGUGAUGCGGGAGAGGAGGUUGAACAACAGUAAAGAAACCGGACAGCAUCACCUGAAGGUAGCAAUAGAACACCAGGCUUUCAGUUGCAAGAUCACUUCCUUUAUUCAUUUGCAUAAAUAUAAAUAUUCAUCCUGUGCAUUCUCAAGGAGAAUUAAUGCAGGACAAAUUCUGUUUGGCUCCUUUGGAAAAGCAGUUUUUGUAAAGCACUGCAAUGAUCUGUCACAAGUUACUCAAAGUACUAAUUUAUCUUCUUUAAUUUCACCCACCAGAAUCCAAAAAGCCAAGAUGGCCUUUCUCCAGGAGAGGAGUGCUGACAUUCUGUGGUCCCGUGGGUCAGACUGUGGCUCAGGAAUGGCUCUUCACCCUUUCGUGGCUCAUAGACAAGAUGUACAGUCUGUUCUCAUGCAUGUCGAACAGCAAAAGAUGCUAAGACUACCAAAGGCGGGUUGUUGAAAGAAAUCAUGUUUGAAAAUCCUGAUUCUAACAACUUUAAGCAGGGCAAAGACAAACACAAAUACAUAUCCAAUCUGGAAGACUGCCUCUCCUCUCUGAAGACUAUAAGACUUCAGGGAUCAUGAGUUCCACAGCCUGAAGGUAUCUCAUACCUGUUUUCUGUGUUGCACACCUUCUUAUUUUUGUUGGUGUUAGUCAUUAAAUUGUCAGAUGAUUGUCUUUUUCAUAACAGCAGAGAAGGAGAGAAGUCCAGACUUGGGCAGAAUGAGAUCUGCUCUCUAAAGCACACUGACACCUCAGGAAAAUCAUUUUAUCCUAAAGAAAGUAAUGACUGUGAAAGCACUUUGUAGACCAUGAAGCCUUAUAUGAAUGUUAAUAGUUGUUACAACUGUUCCCCUCUCUAGGCCUUAAUCUCCUCAUUUGAAAAAUAAGUUGGUUUUGAGAAGACAGUUCCUGAAGUUCUCUUUAAACUUUAUAACUCUUACUUCAUGAUUCUUUAGUAAUUAAUUUCAACAAGUUUUGCCAGUAGAACCUGGAUCAGGCUUCGUAGUUCUGAGUUUGGAGUUCUUUUGGUGGGUUUGGGCAGUAAACUGAUAAGGAGUCAUGAAAUCCUCAAGCAUAAUUCAAAACAACAUCCAUUUGAAUUCCUUUUCAUUUUAAACUAGAAACGGCAUGUCCCAUGCCUCUUCCUGUGUACAGGAGGAAUUGAUACCCCAAAGCUGUGCGGAGAGAGCUGUGGUUUGGGUAACUCUACCAAGAGGGAUGCCUGGGCUUGCAGUGGGAAAUCAUGACUGGGGGAUUACGUGUCACUGCGGUACUGCAAGUCAAAGCAAAGGGUGAACAGGUCAGCCCAUCGAGGUGGAAAUGUUUUGUUCUCUUUUUUUCUCCCACGUACAGGAUAAGACCUGGAAUGAAGUCAUGGAAACACAGCAGAAAUUUCCUACUAAUCAAUUAGACUGAGAAAGUAGCAAGAGGCUGUGUGGGAACGCUUCACGAGUGAGUGCACUUAUUUCUUGGACCACUUACUAGUUCUUAUGAUGAUGGUAAUGCUGGCUUUAAUUUUUGUAGUAGAUGGAAAACAUUACUUCUUUGAGGACUUGUUUCUUUCUCCAAUGCUAAAGAUAGAAACUUGGAGGGGCUCCCCUCUUUCAGGGGGUCUUAAGGAAAUGUUACUUAUUUUUGGUCAUCAGCAUGGUUGUCUCUUCAUUCUUUUCUUAAACGUAGCUUCUCAGGAUUGGGUGAGACGUUCUAAGUCACCUAGUUCGGCUCCCCAUGUCAUGUCUGAAUCGCUUCUGUCUAAUUCUCACCCUGUGUUCACACACUGCUCCAGUUAGGGAGCUCCCAACCACCGUGAAGGCAGCCAUUCCAUCUCUGGUCAGCUUCGUCUUUUGCUCCCUCAUGAAUAGUGCCAGGAAGCUGUUUUAUCAGCCUCAAGGCCACAGUCGCAGAUUUCCAGGGCAACCAUCCGCAUGUAACAGGGGGUUGAAUUAUACAGCGUACUCAUGAUGUCUCUCAUGUAAAUGGUGACCUCAGGGUUGUGCGGUGCUGUGGCCCUGAUCUGGGGAGUCUCUGAGAGAAAACUCCUGCUGGAAGAACCACAGGGCCAGGCAUGAAAAGGGAGCAAAUGCCAUCUAAGACCACAGAGGAGGAUGGGUGACAUUGCUCCCAAGGUUGCCUCUGCCCAUAAGCACUUUUUAAUCCUGGCUGAUUCUCACCCUCAGACAGGAAAAGGAAUUGUGUUGGGAAACAUGCGUUAAAGUCUUAGAUCUUCCUCUGAAGUGUCAUGUGAAUGUAGGAAAGUCUCAUCUUCCAUUUCAUAACUCAGAAGUUGGCAUGUGGUUUCUAUAAAGGUCCAGAUAGUAAAUAUCUUAGGCUUUGCUGGCCAUGUGGUCUUUAUUGCAACUAUGCAGCUCCUCCAUUGCAGUGCAGAAGAAGCCAUAGAUAAUUCGCAAAGAAAUACAUCUGUGGUGGUGCUACAAUAAAACCUUAUUUACAAAAACA
rnacentral:lncRNA from 1 species